UACGUAGGCAGCAAGCGUUGUUCGGAAUUACUGGGCGUAAAGAGUGUGUAGGCGGUGCUCUAAGUCUGUUGUGAAAUCUCCCGGCUUAACCGGGAGGUGCGCGGAAACUGGAGUGCUUGAGGGUGGAGAGGUAAGCGGAAUUCCUGGUGUAGCGGUGAAAUGCGUAGAUAUCAGGAGGAACACCUGUGGUGUAGACAGCUUACUGGACCACUUCUGACGCUGAGACACGAAGCGUGGGUAGCA
rnacentral:rRNA from 1 species